rnacentral:lncRNA from 1 species
AAACGAUACCAAUCGAGUUUUAGAGCUUUGGUGACCAUUUUAAAAGAAUAUAUGAUAAAUUCAAAGGUAAGUCUAUCGUAUUGCAUUGUCUUAAAUGAAUUCUCAGCUAAAAUACGGCAAUAAAUGGAUCAUAAACUUAGCUAAAUUUACUGUUGAGUGUUGACAACGAGGUUGACAGAUCCAUUGCUUUUUUGCCUUGAAUAGCUUUACCAUAGUCAUUUUACCUUAAAAGGUAGCUACCGAGGAUAUCUCUAAGAGAUUUUACACAGAUUAUUUGCAAAAUCUCACGAUUUAAUCAUGCUGAUAACAUGAAAAUCCUUGUGCCAUUCUAUACUUGGCAUAAUCUCUACAUCAAUAGUUCACCAGUUCACUAAUAUAAAAUCAAUAUAUUUUUGAACCAGUCCAUAUAUUAUUAUACACAAUGUAGUAUAGUUAAUUUGACCAUAUUUGAGAAGUAAGGGUGUAUUUCAUUACACAGACACUGCUGAAUUUUAGGUUACAUGCCAUUGGAUUGAUAUAUAAAAAACACUUGUAAAACACACACAUUAUCUUGUUGAUAGAAUAGUUAUUUGCAGUAUACUAACUGUUGGCAUACUCUAUUUCAGGGCUAUCAAUUGUUUUUGUCACUGGCAGUCUUUGAAAUACAAUCUUGCUCUGUGGCCUUUACUGACAAGUUGGCUUUUACUACAUAUGUGGCACUGACACUUCUUUAAUUAAUGCACCAGUCAGUGUAAACCCCC